CGCUGCUGCCGCAACCGUCGCAGCCGUCGCUCGUUCGUUUCGACUUUUGAAUUUUUUUUUGCUGUUGCUCUCGCUCUCUCUCUCUCUCUCCAUCCCUCCCCUGUGAAGCGCCAUCUCGCUCUGACACGUCACAGCCUCCACAUUCAUGACUUCAUUUGCCUGCCGCUCUGCCGUUUCUUAUUAAAUUCUGCUGUCAACGUAAUUGGCGGCCGCGUCGUCGCGCUGUCUGCUUACGUUUUGGAGCCGUGGCUGCGGCCGUUGCCAGUUUUUCCGUCUUUGGAGCAAAGGGAAAAUUUAAUUGGUGCUCCAAGCGGGCGCACUUGGCGUAUGUGCAAUGCUGCCAUAGCUCAGCGUUACCAACUGAGGGCCAACGCAUAAAUAAUAAACAAUAAGCCCAUCAUUAUGAUGAAAAGCGAAUUCAUUGACGUCGGCAUCUUAUCACAAAGCUGCAAUCUCUACCAGGAAAUUAUGUUUUUUAUGCCGAAAAGAAUCCUGCCCCACAGAAAAGAAAAAGAAAAGUAAUCGAAGAAACGAAACGGCACAAAACGAAGCAGAGUUUAUGCCUAUGGCGCACACCUCAAAGAUAAACCAUAAAAUUCUUAUCGUUACGCAUAAAUCGACUAGCCAGCAUGGCAAAUCAAUCACACGUAAAUCUGAAAUAUGCAGCAUCCCGAAAUAAACAACAAAUCUUCCGCCCCCGAGCACCGCCCGCCGUCUACUCCAAUAAGCGACAACAAAGGGAUGCCCAGGAUAAGCCAAACUUUGGGGUUCAUUAUAUAUAUGAUUAUUAUGCGAAAAUUGUUGGCUCCCAAGUUUUGCCCGGCCAUUGUUGCCACGCUCUCUCGCUGGGAUCCAGUAGGGUUGCUUUCGGCUGCUUAAUGACGGGCGAAAGUUGGCAGUUUGUUGGCUCGUAAGUAUAUUUAAUGAAGCUGCUGUUGGCGCAUAAUAAACUUAAUUAGAGCAGCUUAAUAAACAAGUUCAGCAGAAAAAUCCUUCCAUUCGCAAUAUUCAUGCUUAAUUGCCGAUGGAGCAUGAAAGUCUGUUUGUGGGAUAUUCAGAUAUUCGUUAUACACAGAAAAAUAUUUAUUAUAUACAUAUAAAAAUUUCAUAUGAAUAAAAAAUAAAAUAAUGUA